UACGGAGGGUGCGAGCGUUGUCCGGAAUCACUGGGCGUAAAGGGCGCGUAGGCGGCGCGGUAAGCGGGCGGUGAAAGCCCGGGGCUCAACCCCGGGUCGGCCGUGCGAACUGCCGCGCUGGAGCACAGUAGAGGCGGGUGGAAUUCCGGGUGUAGCGGUGGAAUGCGUAGAGAUCCGGAAGAACACCGAUGGCGAAGGCAGCAAACUGGGCAUCAACUGACGCUGAGGCGCGAAAGCGUGGGUAGCAAACAGG
rnacentral:rRNA from 1 species